rnacentral:rRNA from 1 species
UACGUAGGGUGCAGGCGUUAAUCGGAAUUACUGGGCGUAAAGAGCUCGUAGGCGGUUUGUUGCGUCGGCUGUGAAAUCCCGAGGCUCAACCUCGGGUCUGCAGUCGAUACGAGCAAACUAGAGUGUUGCAGGGGAGACUGGAAUUCCUGGUGUAGCGGUGAAAUGCGCAGAUAUCAGGAGGAACACCGGUGGCGAAGGCGGGUCUCUGGGCAGUAACUGACGCUGAGGAGCGAAAGCGUGGGGAGCGAACAGG